rnacentral:rRNA from 1 species
UACGUAGGGUGCAAGCGUUGUCCGGAAUUAUUGGGCGUAAAGAGCUCGUAGGCGGUUUGUCGCGUCUGCCGUGAAAGUCCGGGGCUCAACUCCGGAUCUGCGGUGGGUACGGGCAGACUAGAGUGAUGUAGGGGAGACUGGAAUUCCUGGUGUAGCGGUGAAAUGCGCAGAUAUCAGGAGGAACACCGAUGGCGAAGGCAGGUCUCUGGGCAUCUACUGACGCUGAGGAGCGAAAGCAUGGGGAGCGAACAGG